AAACUUUGUGGUGUUUAGACUGUUUAGUUAAUUCUCGAAAUCAAUUUUGGUAAUAAUACAAUAUCAGGAGGGCCGUAGGCUUAUUUCCUACCAUCUGGUAAACAAAAUCAGACAAAUGAAAUACUAAUUGAUAUCAAAAUAAUUAUCUUUCUAGUAUUAGGUACUGAUAUGAAAUACAUUUUCAGAAAAGGUGCUAUCAAAGUAAUUAUGUCUAUGCUCAAGUAUUAGGAAACAUCCCGUCAAUUGCUGUUAUCGUGACUGAUUAAAAUGACAUUAAGUAGAAGAAGUCAGUUCUUUGUUGAUAGAAAUGAUAAAUAAAUAACAUAUCAUAUCUUUAACAUGCCUAGUAGCAGUCUGUCCACCAAAAUAACCACAAAUCAUUAAACGCAGUGUAAUACUAAUAUGUGAUUAUUCCUGCAGAUAAUAGAAUGCGAAGUCACUUCGGCAGCAGCGCGUCGUGAGGCAUAGUACACUGGGAUUGCAGCUUAGAAAAUGUUAUAUAGAUAUAUGGAAAAAGAAGACAAAAUAUACCUAGGUGCUAUUUUUCAUUUUGCCCGGAAAUGCCCGCAUUUUCUACUUAAAGUAAAUAAACACGGGAAGUGCCCAA